AUAGAGUCACUCGUAUUAUUAUGAAUUUAUAAUAUAAAAAAGUAACUCUUAAGUUAUCUUUUAUUUUUAGCUAAAAGGCAGUCCGUUUGGUUCAAAUCCAUAGAGAUAAAUAUUUAUAUAUUAUUUUGAAAAUAUUUGUAGGUGCAAUAAAAUUGGCCCCCUACACGGCUACACUGUAGUACCGUCUACCCAUGAAAUUUAAAUUAAGUGGUUGCAAAGCCAAAAUCCAAAGCGAAGCACAGAAGCAAGCAAUUAUAUGAACCACUUAAAAUAAAUUACAAGACAGAUAAAUAAAAGAAAGAGAUCAAAUUAAUCCCAAAGAUAGGGGCUUUAGACAAGUCGUACGGCCAUCAAAUCAUUCUUGACAUUGACUAAUAAAUUCUUCCUCGUGAACCCAGGAGAGAGUGCUUCUAUAGAGCAGCACAAACUGUAUUUUCUUCUUGAUUUUUCUGGAUUUUCUCAUAAAGUAAAUGCUAAUUGGAUGGAGCAUCUUUCAUAUGUGGGAAGACCGAUGCUCAAAAACUAACAAGCUUGAAAACGGAAGACAAGUUCAUUAGUUUCGUGUUUUUAAUAAUUAUGAACUCACGCAACCACUAAAAUUCAAUCUUAAAACCUGAGUUUUAAAAAGAUCAUUCUUUACCAUUGAAACUAGAUUUUAGCCUCAAGAAUCGACGGAUUUUCACACCAAAUAAAAAAUUGAAUGUGAUUAACAAUGUGACGGACUUCUCAUAUUCAAUAGUUUUGAUAAAAGGCCGUACACAAGAUUCAAGUUUCACAAUUAACUUAUUUCAAAACAUCUCAAUUAAUUAUUUUAUAAAAAGUGAAAAAUAAAAGUUCUUAGAGAUCUACAGGCGUAGACUAGUAAAUCAAUUUCUGUCUGCGUAUCAUGUGGGUGGGAUCUAUCUAAAUUUUAAGUUGCAGCCGGGCUACAAGUUUCUUCAAAAUCAUUUUUAGCCCCAUUUUUCAAUUAUCGCAAUUUUGUUUAUUAAUAAAGCAAGAAGGAAAAAAAAGCUAUUGUUUUCAAAUCCGUUUGAGGGAUAAAAAUUUGUUUAGUUUCUGUAUUUAAAGUUAAUAUUAAUUUUCAAAGAGUGAUGAUACAGCCAUAAAUUAUUGUACAAACUUAUCUUGUACAAACAGAUAUGACAUUAAUUCAUUGGUUGAAUGAAAAUAUCAAAUAAUAGAAAUAAAUCAUAUGGGCCAAAAAAUAUUUAAUUCAACUAAUGAAUUAACAUUACAUCAAUUUGUACAAGAAUUUUUGACUAUAUCAUUACUCAUUUUCAAAUAGGUAAAUUUUUAAAAGUGAAUCAAUACCUUCUUUUGGUGAGAGUAUGUUUGAGAGAUAAAAGUUUGUUUAGUCUCUAUAUUUUUUGUUAUUAACAUCUCUGUCGUUAUUUUUUGUUUAUUAACAUCUUUUCUAUUAUUUUUUGUUUCUUUUUACUUGUUU
rnacentral:lncRNA from 1 species